rnacentral:tRNA from 1 species
GGAGAGGUGGCUGAGUGGCUGAAAGCACCGUACUACGAAUACGGCGCACCCCUUAAGCAAGGGUGCCACGGGUUCGAAUCCCGUCCUCUCCU